GAUGAACGCUGGCGGCGUGCCUAAUACAUGCAAGUCGAGCGAACGGACGAGAAGCUUGCUUCUCUGAUGUUAGCGGCGGACGGGUGAGUAACACGUGGAUAACCUACCUAUAAGACUGGGAUAACUUCGGGAAACCGGAGCUAAUACCGGACAAUAUUUUGAACCGCAUGGUUCAAAAGUGAAAGACGGUCUUGCUGUCACUUAUAGAUGGAUCCGCGCUGCAUUAGCUAGUUGGUAAGGUAACGGCUUACCAAGGCAACGAUGCAUAGCCGACCUGAGAGGGUGAUCGGCCACACUGGAACUGAGACACGGUCCAGACUCCUACGGGAGGCAGGAGUAGGGAAUCUUCCGCAAUGGGCGAAAGCCUGACGGAGCAACGCCGCGUGAGUGAUGAAGGUCUUCGGAUCGUAAAACUCUGUUAUUAGGGAAGAACAUAUGUGUAAGUAACUGUGCACAUCUUGACGGUACCUAAUCAGAAAGCCACGGCUAACUACGUG
rnacentral:rRNA from 1 species